ACAUACGAUCACAGCCGCCAGUAAAAUUCAGGAUCCCGUCCGAUCUCCUAGGACAACCUGGCGAGCGCUAGAUUAGUAGCUAGGUCGGUGACGACUAGCGAAUACCUAGUGUUGUAUGUU
rfam:Metarhizium robertsii ARSEF 23 MAA_Scf_13, whole genome shotgun sequence.